UUGAAUUUUGAUUUCGUCCUUGAUGAGUAGUAGGGCACGAUUUGUAUGUUUCUUGUUUUAGUGAUUUACAAGUUUUUACAUGUCAUUAAUCUCUUGAAUAGCAUAAAAUUAUAAUUAAAUGCACGUUUAAACAUAAAUGUAAAUAAAGGUUUUGCUAGUAUCAUGGGAGAGAGUGUACAAACUUAGUGCAUAGAGUAAACCCUACAGUGGACAUGUCCUCAGUCUCAUGGGACUGGGAGGUCCCAUAUCGAAU
rnacentral:lncRNA from 1 species